GAGAGAGAGCUUGCUUUCUCGAGCGAGUGGCGAACGGGUGAGUAACGCGUGAGGACCUGCCUCAAAGAGGGGGACAACAGUUGGAAACGACUGCUAAUACCGCAUAAGCCGGCAUCGGAAAAGGAGCAAUCCGCUUUGAGAUGGCCUCGCGUCCGAUUAGCUAGUUGGUGAGGUAACGGCCCACCAAGGCGACGAUCGGUAGCCGGACUGAGAGGUUGAACGGCCACAUUGGGACUGAGACACGGCCCAGACUCCUACGGGAGGCAGCAGUGGGGAAUAUUGCACAAUGGGGGAAACCCUGAUGCAGCGACGCCGCGUGGAGGAAGAAGGUCUUCGGAUUGUAAACUCCUGUUGUUGAGGAAGAUAAUGACGGUACUCAACAAGGAAGUGACGGCUAACUACGUGCCAGCAGCCGCGGUAAAACGUAGGUCACAAGCGUUGUCCGGAAUUACUGGGUGUAAAGGGAGCGCAGGCGGGAAGGCAAGUUGGAAGUGAAAUCUAUGGGCUCAACCCAUGAACUGCUUUCAAAACUGUUUUUCUUGAGUAGUGCAGAGGUAGGCGGAAUUCCCGGUGUAGCGGUGGAAUGCGUAGAUAUCGGGAGGAACACCAGUGGCGAAGGCGGCCUACUGGGCACCAACUGACGCUGAGGCUCGAAAGUGUGGGUAGCAAACAGGAUUAGAUACCCUGGUAGUCCACACUGUAAACGAUGAUUACUAGGUGUU
rnacentral:rRNA from 1 species